rnacentral:lncRNA from 1 species
GGGGAAUUCAGGAAAGGGAGGGUUGGGGGAAGAGGCUGUCUACCCUCGUCUGCCCGCCCCAGCCCCCUCCUGCCUUGGCCCGCGCCCCCGCCCACUCCACUCUGAGCGCACGACAGCGGGCAAAACAACACGUGACCACAGCCUCACGCGGCGGCCGCUGCGGAUCCUGCUACCGGCGCAAUGGAGGGGCGCGAGCGGCCACCAGUAGAGUCUGGUUCAUUCUUUCCAGCCGCACAAGGCGGCGGAUCGAGCUUCUUGGGAGAAAGUGUCGGCACCCCCUGAAAACGGGUUGACGACCAGGGCGCUCAGAACUGCUUCCCACCGCUCUGCAGGCACUCCCGAGCCCGCUGCACCCCUGACAGAAGCCCGCGACUCUGAGGCACACGAAUAACAGCGAUGCAUUCAAAAUGAACAUGAUCUUUAUUAAUCAGAAUGCACUUCUAGCCCACGAAACACAGGUUCCCUAAAUACAGUGUUUCUGCCUAUUUGAUUAACGAUGACUAUGAAAGCACAAAUUUGGGGGCCUGCAAUGUAUACAGCCAUAUUGGAAAAAAUUGGACUCGAUUCUUACUGAAAUAACCAGUGUUGGGCUGUGAAGGUAUUUUUCUGUGGGAAAUGCUUUGGAAGGUGCCUUUAAAAGAAUCUCAAAAUAUUGCUUUCCUUUCCUUGAGCGAGACCGAAAAACUUUAGAAAAAGAAAAGCUCAUACCUAGAACAAAGGACCACGCUGAAUGCAUAUUCUAGAGCACAUUUCACAUCCCUCGCGUCAACAAGAAGAAGAAGAGGAGCUUUGAUGCAUUUCAGUCUACAAGUUGACAUCACAAAAGUAAGAACUACUGCCUCCCUCAUUUCUGGAAAAACUGCCGGAGUGUGCUGGAAGCAGCCGUGGUUUCGGAAGGGAGCUAGAGGCAGAACGAGUGUGGAUGCUGAGAGAUCCCUGACUGUGACUGCUACAUAUUUCAGCUGCGUAGUCACAUAUAUACAAGAUUCCCUGCACUUACAACCAAAAUGAUAACAAAUGCUCUCAUUUGGGAUUUUGUUUGAUAGUCAUUAGGAUAUUUUAUAAGUCUUUCCAAGCACAAGGUUUUUUUCUUUUUUUUUUUAAAGAGAAAUGUGACAAAUAAGGCAACAUAUUUGAAAGUGCUUUGAGUAAUAACAUGACAUUGAAAAUAUCAAAAUGAAUAUUAAAUGAAAUGGGAAAAUACUGGAGAUUUUUAAAUCCUCAUGUCCUUUUUCCUGUACAUAUAGUUUUUACAUAGAGCAGUAGGCUUACAAUUUAUAUAAUUUUGCAUCCUGUUCUUUUCACUGAACAUUAUACAAUAUUUCCCCAUAUUAUUAUGCAUCAGCAUAAAUAUCAUUUAAAAUACAACAUAUUAUCCAACACAAUCGAUGAAUAUUAAUGUAAUUAAUCAUCUGCUUUGGGGCAUUUAGGUUGUUUUCAUUUUUUUCAGUAUUAUAAAUAACAUGUCAAUGAAUAUCUUCUACCUACAGCCUUUUAAAAUUCCCAUUGGGUAAAAACUGAGCACUGGAAUUAGUAGGCUAAAAGAUAUGAAUAUUUAAUACAUUAUUUUUCAAAAAUAUUAUAUUAGUUUACCCUGUCACCAGACUGAUUGUCAGCAUUGGACAUUCUUAUUUUUAAAAAAUUAGAGAUAAGAUGGGUGAAACGGUAUUCCACUAUUCUUUUUUUUUUUUUUUUUGAGAUGGAGUCUCAUCCUGUCACCGAGGCUGGAGUGCAGUGACGUGAUCUCAGCUCCCUGCAACCUCGGUCUCCCGGGUUCAAGCAAUUCUCCUGCCUCAGCCUCCCAAGUAGCUGGGAUUACAAGUGCCCGCCACCAUGCCCAGCUAUUUUUUGUAUUUUUAGUAGAGAAGGGUUUUCACCAUGUUGGCCAGGCUAGUCUCGAACUCCUGACCUUGUGAUCCACCUGCCUCAGCCUCCCAAAGUGCUGGGAUUACAGGCCUGAGCUACUGCACCUGGCCUCCACUAUUCUUUCAAUGUGCUUUUUUUUUUUAACUAGUGAGAUUAAACAUUUAUAUAUAUUCACUGACAUUAUAUUAUUUCCUAUGUCCUUUGUGUUGUCUAUUGUAUUCUUAGUAUUUUCUUCUUAUGUGUAACUUGUUUAUGUAAUAAAUACAUUAAAACUUUGUGGUAUUUGUUGCAAGUUUUUUUUCCCCAGUCUGUUGACUUUAAAAAUCACAUUUAACUUGAUUUUCUUCUAUUUUGAAAGAUAUGUAAAUUGGGCAUGAUGUGAUUUGUAGCACAGUUUGAAAGGGAG